rnacentral:rRNA from 1 species
GGCCCUCGGGUUGUAAAGUUCUUUCGCUUGGGAACAAGGGAAGGCGGUUAAUACCCGCCUGACUUGAGUGGUACCAGGUAAAGAAGCACCGGCUAAUUCCGUGCCAGCAGCUGCGGUAAUACGGAAGGUGCAAGCGUUAAUCGGAAUCAUUGGGCGUAAAGAGCGCGUAGGCGGGAGUGCAAGUCAGGUGUGAAAUUCCAGAGCUCAACUCUGGAGCUGCACUUGAAACUACAUUCCUAGAGGAUAGGCGGAGAAAGCGGAAUUCCAUGUGUAGCGGUGAAAUGCGUAGAUACAUGGAGGAACACCCGUGGCGAAGGCGGCUUUCUAGCUUACUCCUGACGCUAAGGCGCGAAAGCAAGGGGAGCAAACAGGAUUAGAUACCCUGGUAGUCCUUGCCGUAAACGAUGCAUACUUGGUGUCGACGGUCUCAACCCCGUUGGUGCCGUAGCUAACGUGUUAAGUAUGCCGCCUGGGGAGUACGCUCGCAAGGGUGAAACUCAAAAGAAUUGACGGGGACCCGCACAAGCAGUGGAGCAUGUGGUUUAAUUCGAUGCAACGCGAAGAACCUUACCCAGACUUGACAUGGUCCGGACCGCCACGGAAACGUGGUUUCUCGUGUGAGUCGGAUCACAGGUGCUGCAUGGCUGUCGUCAGCUCGUGCCGUGAGGUGUUGGGUUAAGUCCCGCAACGAGCGCAACCCUCGUCACUAGUUGCCAACAU